AGUAAUGUCUGGGAAACUGCCUGAUGGAGGGGGAUAACUACUGGAAACGGUAGCUAAUACCGCAUAACGUCGCAAGACCAAAGAGGGGGACCUUCGGGCCUCUUGCCAUCGGAUGUGCCCAGAUGGGAUUAGCUAGUAGGUGGGGUAACGGCUCACCUAGGCGACGAUCCCUAGCUGGUCUGAGAGGAUGACCAGCCACACUGGAACUGAGACACGGUCCAG
rnacentral:rRNA from 2 species